rnacentral:lncRNA from 1 species
GCUUUGCACCACAUCAAAGGUGUAACCACUGGCAUUCUUGUCUUCUGUUGAGUAAAGAUACAGUACAUCUCUAGGGAUUGCUGUUGAAAUAUUUACUCUGACUGAGGUAGAGUAUCCACACAUUUAUACAACUCCAAUCAUUGGGGGAACCUCUGUGUGACAGCUCUGAUGACAUCAUCUGUACUAAGUCAUCCCUUCAAUGGAAGCAUGUAGAUAACAAGUUAGAAAAAGUCCUCUUCCAGGGCUCUCUUUACAAAAAAUGUUGGGCUAAGCUGUGUUGACUAAAGGAGCUAGCUGAAUGGUGUCUUUAUCAGCUAAAACAACAACACCUGUGCUCUGAUUUGGCAAAAUGGAUGUUAAAAGAUGGGUCACAAAUACUUGUGAGGGUAUAUGUAGCAGUUGUGAGGGGAUAUGGAGAUAUGUUGUGGUAGAAGUAAAGAGUAGUAUCCUGGCUUGCUAAGAAGGCUUUAAUGUUUCACCACUACUAACUACUGGAAACACUGAGAAUAUCUUCAUAUGGGCAAAAUAUAGCUGGCAUCAAAUGUUUCCUUGAAUAUUCCUGUGGAUGGAUCCAUCACACCCACCUUGGUCCUGAACCUCUCUCAUCCCAGCAAUUCCCUCAGCAGAGCCCUUGCAAAGAUCAGCAUUACAUUGGGCAGAGAACAUGGAUAACGUAUGAAGAGCAGUCAAAAUUUUACAGCUCGCUCUGUUUUGUUCAAGCUGAGUUCACACACUUUGCUGUUUACAUUACAAUUGAUCUAGCAGAAAGAUUUAUUUCAGUUCAUGUUCUCAGAGAAAAGAGAAUUAUAAGUGUUUCAAAUGCUUUUUAUACCAGGAAGUACUUAAUAUUUAUCUUUAUGCUAAGUCCAUACUGAAGACAGAACACCUCUAAAUGAUAACCUCUGGGACGUUAAGGGACGCUUCGCUUUAGAUAAGUAUUUGUGAAUGGAUGUUGCACAGGUUCCUUGUAACUUACACUUAACAGACAAGUUCAAAGACCUUCAGUAAGACUGGUUUUGCCAAUUUCUGGCACAAAGGAAAAAAGGAUAUUAUAAUGGUACAGGAUACUGCAGAGCAUCUUAUUAUGUGGCAUUGACUGAGAAUGAACAUAGAUCUGCUGCUACAAAGAGCUACAGUAAAAGCUGGAGACAUGGAAUAUGUCUGAAUUCUUCAGCUUGAGGACAGCUGUAAUUAUAAUGAGCUUACAGAAAUAAUGCUGCA